ACAGAGGUCCUCCUUCUGUCUGGGGGUCCAGGAGAAAUUCCAAAAUGCCCUUUUUUUUUUGAGCCAUAAGACCUGUCUUUGUGUCAUCCAGUGCCUCAGCAGGCAAGAAAGAGUGUUAAGUAUGGAGGCUGGCACAGCAAAGGUGUUUCCUGACAUCCCAAACAUUACUAUGAAGAACCCAUCCUGUCCCUGUCCCUGAGUUAGUGUUGCCCUUCCCAGAAGGCGGACAGUAUUACAUGGAGUGAAUUGACUGUGACUGCUCACCUCACAAAGAUGGACACUUCUAACUAAGAGGCAGCUGUGGAUGGCCUUGUGGUAAGGGUUAACUUGCUCUGACCUCAAAAAACUGAUGAUGAGAUAUACUCAGCCUCUCUCCAUGACCUGAACCUAGAAAAGUUCCUCUUUUGACACUUUUGUUGCUAUGGGCUGUCAAGCUGGCUUCAAUGUAUAGUAAUCCUAUGAAUGAGAACCCUACAAGAGACUGUUAUUCCUCUUUUCCUGCUUCCUUUGAUUUUACUGAGCAUUAUCCUCUUUUACAAUGAGGUAUGUUGUUUCAUGAUAUGUCCAAAGUACAAGAUCCUCAGUUUGGUCAUUUUAGCUUCAAGGGAGAGUUCAGGCUUAGAUUACUUCUUUCAGAAUCUUCCAUCCAGGAUUCUGGGUACUGUAGGCCAAAUAGUAGAUUUCUCAAGUCAUGUACAUUAACAGAUUCCUUUGCAAGAUCAGAUGGACGAAUUACAGGAAUCUAGUACUAAUUAAGAUGGAAGAAGAAAGGCCUAAGAUAUGAAAGAGUAAAAUUGCAACAAAAUUGAGAGCCUUUUUAAAAAAUAAAAACAAAACGUUAAAUUGGCUUCAUCCAAAUUACUGGCUAUAAGGAUGACACUUAUUUCUAUCAACAUACUUGUUCAGUAUUCAUUAUGCUCAAAACAUCUAAGUUAAUGUCUGGAAUCUUACUUGCUAACAUUUAUGUUGUACUUUAAUAAUAUUUUAACUGAACAAUUAAUUUUAAUUUUCUAAUCUCAUGUAUUUGCUAAGAUACAUACACUACACAUUGUCAUACACUAAAUCUUUGUCACAAGGAGAUGCUGUGAAAGUGGCAACUUCGUAGAGACAGGUAGCCCUUUCCCUUAUGUGCUUCAAAGCUUGAAGAUAUUGUAACAUAAUCUCUUUACAUUGUCUACCUCCAGUGGUCCCUUGACUGGAGAUGUCAAGGCUUAAAUAUGGAAUUUUCUGCGUGCCAAGUCUGUUCUUUACCACUCAGCUAUCACUGAAUGGCAUGACCAUGCCUUGCGCUACCAGCCAAAGAUAUGGAACAUGGAUGUGAAUGCUUGCAGUGUCAUGAGGACAAGCCUUGUGAACAGUAUAACAGGCAACAGUGACGGUGAAUUAGCCAUUCCAAUAUCAAUUGUGGCAAUCUUCUUGUGGCAAGAGAAGAAUGUCCAAACAACUGUAAGAGAUCUACAGUAAAUCUACUUAACUACUGUAUUUAGAUUUUUGGCAAGGAAAUAUCUCAGUCUCCAUGAUGUUUGAACUGUGGUACUUUACAACUAAAACAUAAAUAAUUGCCUAUUCUCAUAUUUUGGCAAGUUGAAGGGGGGAAUUAUCUUUACUUUCUGCUCAUAUAUUUAAAAAACAAUAAAGGUACAAAGCACA